UACGAAGGGAGCUAGCGUUGUUCGGAAUCACUGGGCGUAAAGCGCACGUAGGCGGAUGUGUCAGUCAGGGGUGAAAUCCCGGAGCUCAACUUCGGAACUGCCUUUGAUACAGCACAUCUGGAGUCCGGAAGAGGUGGGUGGAAUUCCUAGUGUAGAGGUGAAAUUCGUAGAUAUUAGGAAGAACACCGGUGGCGAAGGCGGCCCACUGGCCCGGUACUGACGCUGAGGUGCGAAAGCGUGGGGGAGCAAACAGG
rnacentral:rRNA from 1 species